CCUCCUCUCCAUCGUCAUCCCGGCGGAGGCCGGGAUCUCGGGAGAGUCGGGCAGCGCCCAUCUCCCGAGACCCCGGCCUCCGCCGGGGCGGCGAGGAGCUGGGA
rnacentral:pre_miRNA from 1 species